UACCAGCUCUCCGCGUGGUAGGGAUGAUUAUUGGGCUUAAAGCGUCCGUAGCCGGCUUAGCAAGUCUCCUGUUAAAUUCAGCGACCUAAUCGUUGAGCCGCGGGAGAUACUACUAGGCUAGGAGGCGGGAGAGGUCAACGGUACUUCCGGGGUAGGGGUGAAAUCCUAUAAUCCCGGGAGGACCACCAGUGGCGAAGGCUGUUGACUAGAACGCGCUCGACGGUGAGGGACGAAAGCCGGGGGAGCGAACCGGAUUAGAUACCCGGGUAGUCCCAGCUGUAAACGAUGCGAGCUAGGUGUUGGGGUGGCUACGUGCCACUUCAGUGCCGCAGGGAAGCCAUUAAGCUCGCCGCCUGGGGAGUAAGGCCGCAAGGCUGAAACUUAAAGGAAUUGGCGGGGGAGCACCACAAGGCGUGAAGCUUGCGGUUC
rnacentral:rRNA from 1 species